CAUAGAUUGAACGCUGGCGGCAGGCCUAACACAUGCAAGUCGAACGGUAACAGGAAGCAGCUUGCUGCUUCGCUGACGAGUGGCGGACGGGUGAGUAAUGUCUGGGAAACUGCCUGAUGGAGGGGGAUAACUACUGGAAACGGUAGCUAAUACCGCAUAACGUCGCAAGACCAAAGAGGGGGACCUUCGGGCCUCUUGCCAUCGGACCCAGAUGGGAUUAGCUUGUUGGUGGGGUAACGGCUCACCAAGGCGACGAUCCCUAGCUGGUCUGAGAGGAUGACCAGCCACACUGGAACUGAGACACGGUCCAGACUCCUACGGGAGGCAGCAGUGGGGAAUAUUGCACAAUGGGCGCAAGCCUGAUGCAGCCAUGCCGCGUGUAUGAAGAAGGCCUUCUUGUAAAGUACUUUCAGCGGGGAGGAAGGGAGUAAAGUUAAUACCUUUGCUCAUUGACGUUACCCGCAGAAGAAGCACCGGCUAACUCCGUGCCAGCAGCCGCGGUAAUACGGAGGGUGCAAGCGUUAAUCGGAAUUACUGGGCGUAAAGCGCACGCAGGCGGUUUGUUAAGUCAGAUGUGAAAUCCCCGGGCUCAACCUGGGAACUGCAUCUGAUACUGGCAAGCUUGAGUCUCGUAGAGGGGGGUAGAAUUCCAGGUGUAGCGGUGAAAUGCGUAGAGAUCUGGAGGAAUACCGGUGGCGAAGGCGGCCCCCUGGACGAAGACUGACGCUCAGGUGCGAAAGCGUGGGGAGCAAACAGGAUUAGAUACCCUGGUAGUCCACGCCGUAAACGAUGUCGACUUGGAGGUUGUGCCCUUGAGGCGUGGCUUCCGGAGCUAACGCGUUAAGUCGACCUGGGGAGUACGGCCGCAAGGUUAAAACUCAAAUGAAUUGACGGGGGCCCGCACAAGCGGUGGAGCAUGUGGUUUAAUUCGAUGCAACGCGAAGAACCUUACCUGGUCUUGACAUCCACGGAAGUUUUCAGAGAUGAGAAUGUGCCUUCGGGAACCGUGAGACAGGUGCUGCAUGGCUGUCGUCAGCUCGUGUUGUGAAAUGUUGGGUUAAGUCCCGCAACGAGCGCAACCCUUAUCCUUUGUUGCCAGCGGUCCGCCACGGAAGUUUUCAGAGA
rnacentral:rRNA from 1 species